UCCCUCACCAAAAAAGACGGAUUAAGAAGGGAUUUAGUUCUCCGUACGGACUCCUUCUCCUUGACGCGCCUACGCGCCACUUCCACCUCCACCGCAUGACUUGCCAGCUCACCUUUCGCCCCGUCCACCGCCUCCUAUUUCUCUAAUUCACUUUCACGCCGGCGCUGGUUCUUGCAGGUCAUCCGCUUCCGUGGUGGCCGCUAGCACCGCCAAUUCCGUUUCGAUAAGGCAGGGAAUGAAAGAAUUGCAUGGACUUGGACUGAUAAGGGUUUGUUAUCUACUUGGGACACUUAAAAAGGUUACUGCGGGUGUUGAAUGGGGAGAGACAGAUGCGGUUUUUGGAGUUAGUAUGGAAAUGUCAGGUACCCCAAAGAGUCAGGCAAUGCCUUUGGCUUUUUCUCAGAGAUCCAUUACAGAUUCAGGCUUGGGAUGAAAGAGAGCCAUUGUAAUCGAUGUGGCGUUGGAAGGGAAAAUGGGCAAGAAGCGUUCGACUAAGAUGCAGUGGACUACUUUUUAUUCUGAUCACAACAAGUGUUGGAGACCUCCUAGAUCGGAUUGGAUUAAGUUAAAUUCGGAUGGCUUUGUUAAUUUAGUAGCAGGAAACUCAGCUAUCGAAGGGGUUGCUAAGGGACACAAAUGGUGAUUGGAUUCUUUGGUUCUGUGACAGGAUUGGGGUUUACCACCGUUUUUCAGGCAGAGGCUUCUGCGCUUCUUGAGGGACUUAGAUUGGCAUUGGCUUGGGACAAGGGUUACCGGAAGAUGGAGGUGGAGAGAGACAAUGCUCUUCUGAUCCAGUUUAUUUGCAGUGGCUAUGCUUCAAGGAAUAGACUGUCCGAACUACGACAAAUCCAGGUGAUGUACAGCAGGAAUUGGCAAUUAACUUCCAAACAUAUAAGCCGUGAACAGAAUAGGACUGCCGAUUUAAUGACGAGACUUGGAAGGGCUACAACAAGUGGCUUAUGCGUUUUUUAUCAACCUCCCAGCGUUCUCGAGACUACACUGGAACAAGAAAGAGUUUAGGCUCGAUUAAGCCUCUAUUUCCAACCCCCAAAAAAUUAAUUUUGCUUUUAGAGUUUAAAAAGUUUUAUUAUCUAAAAA